UACGGAGGGUGCUAGCGUUGUUCGGAAUUACUGGGCGUAAAGCGCGUGUAGGCGGCCCGCUAGGUCUGAUGUGAAAGCCCGGGGCUCACCCCCGGAAGUGCAUUGGAGACUGGCGGGCUCGAGUCCCGGAGAGGAGGGUGGAAUUCCUGGUGUAGCGGUGAAAUGCGUAGAUAUCAGGAGGAACACCGGUGGCGAAGGCGGCCCUCUGGACGGUGACUGACGCUGAGGCACGAAAGUGUGGGGAUCAAACAGG
rnacentral:rRNA from 1 species